GUUGAUUGUAUUAAGGCAAUUACGAAAUUAAACCAAAAAUCACUGUAAAUUUUGCAAUAGCGGAAUGCUAAUUUUGAAAUACAAAUGGAAAUAGGAAAAAACGAAUAUAGAUUUAAGAGAUUAGGAUGGAUUAAGAUUUAGGAUUGGGAAUCAUGGUUAUUAAAAAUAGAAGAAAGAAUUUAGAAAAAGGUUACGAUCGAUUAGGAUUAAUUAGGAUUGGGAAUCAUGGUUUGGAUGGAUAUAGGGCACUUAUCUUUUCAUGCUGCGAGGUGAGGCUUUGGCUGCGUCACUGCUCGGCAUAAGAUGGCGGUCACACGUUCUGAUGUUCUUGGAUUGCUUGUUGCUUGGAAGUCCCUGUUCGGGCGCCAGAUGUUCGUUUCAUGAUCUACUUGCAAUUUGAAACUUAAUUACUUGAAGAAUGGAGAUUGAAGAUAAAAUAAAAGAUGUCAAACUGAAUUAUAGUGUAUUGCAAAAUCACAAUGAUUUAUAGUUACAAAUCAAUUGCUGCGCAUGACGA